UUCCAUCCCAAAACAGCCGUUUUUAUUCCCCUCCUCUCUUCUGUUUUCCCCCAGAGUUUCUUUUCUUUCUAAUUUCUCGUGGAGGCGAGGAGAUAGAGAAGAGAGAGAGAGAGAGAGGAAGGGGACGGAGGAGGAGGCGUCCCUCGCGAUUGGACAGGGCGCGAGGAACCCGAGGAGAGCGCGCGUGCGAUCCCCGAGGCGCGGGGAGUCGAUUCCGGCGCCGGGACAGUCUCGCCCUCGCCGGGCCGGCCGUUUCGAGCACUCUAUCACCGAGGAUUUGGUGGGAUCCGGCCAAGAGCUGGUUGGUGGAGGGGAGGGG
rnacentral:rRNA from 1 species